rnacentral:rRNA from 1 species
GACGAAGGGGGCUAGCGUUAAUCGGAAUUACUGGGCGUAAAGCGUGCGCAGGCGGUUGUGCAAGACCGAUGUGAAAUCCCCGGGCUUAACCUGGGAAUGGCAUUGGUGACUGCACGGCUAGAGUGUGUCAGAGGGGGGUAGAAUUCCACGUGUAGCAGUGAAAUGCGUAGAGAUGUGGAGGAAUACCGAUGGCGAAGGCAGCCCCCUGGGAUAACACUGACGCUCAUGCACGAAAGCGUGGGGAGCAAACAGG